UUUAAUAUGGCAGAUUAGUGCAGUGAAUUUAAGAUUCAAAUAUAAAAAUUUAAUUUUUUAUUAAAA
rnacentral:tRNA from 1 species